rnacentral:lncRNA from 10 species
CCAAUAUGACCCAUUCUGCAGCAGGCUGUGCACUCCAAAGGAUGUGCCACAUGAAUACUGCAAGUAUUUGAGAUUUUGAAAAUGAAGCCUGGUUAAAGCCCAAGGUUUGAUCGUGCUACGCGUGCUAAAGAUAAGGGGGUCUCGCUGUCGCGAUCUCGGCUCACUGCAACCUUCGACUCCUGGGUUCAAGUGAUUCUUCUGCCUCAGCCUCCUGAGUAGCUGGGAUUACGGACGUACACCACCAUGCCUGGCUAAUUUUUGUAUGUUAGUAGAGAUGGGGUUUUAUCAUGUUGGCCAGGCUGAUCUCAAACUCCUGGCCUCAGGUGAUCCACCCACUUCGGCCUCCCAAAGUGCUGGGACUACAGGUGUGAGUCACUGUGACCAGCCCAUAGAGGAAACUGUGCAAAGUUAUGUGCGUGAAAAACCUUCAGGAUGGAGAGAAUCAGCUGCCUACCUUGAACUACCUUGAAUAAGGCUGCCUUUGCUCUAAGAAAACCUGAAAAGUCUUCAACUAAAAGCUGAAAAGUCUUCAACUAUUACGUGAGGAUCUGCAGUUGGGGUCUAUGCUGUAGUGACUCAAGAUCACUGAUAGAACUUAAAGUCUAAUUUUUUUUUCAGUUAGGUGCAUCCCGAUACAGAAAUAGUGAAGAGUAUUUUAGCUAGGACCCAAAAUUGCCAAGGUUCUUGGAACUUCACAAAGGUCAAAGCUUGAACUGUGUCUGAAGAGGGUAUCAGAAUGUAUCUUUAUUCAGUACCAUAGACUAAGAAAGAAAAACAACUUUAUUUGUACGUUAUAUGAGGAAUCCUCCUCAUGAUCUCACAUUUGUUAUCUUAGUUCCGUUUCCUCAACAAUGCUGUGACCCAGUGUGGAUUCCCAUGGAUCUUAUUGAAAAUGCUUAUUAAAACUGCUACUUGACAGAAACUUUAUAAUUUUAGACUAAUUUCUCUCCAUCCCCUCUGAAUAAAAAUUCACAUGGUCAUUGAAUUUUUAUGUGACAAUAAUGCAUAUAUAUAUAUACGUAUAAAUAUAUAUAAUACUCAAAUUCUUUGAUGCUUUGUGUGGCUUGGAAUAAAUGUUAAUAUUACAGA